AGCCAGGACAGAGGGCUGGAAGCGGCAACGUGGAGCGAAUCCCAGAAACCUGGUCCAAGUUCGGAUUGUGGGCUGAAACUCGCCCACAUGAAGCCGGAAUCGCUAGUAAUCGCGGAUCAGCCAUGCCGCGGUGAAUACGUUCCCGGGCCUUGUACACACCGCCCGUCACGCCAUGGAAGUUGGGAGUGCCCGAAGUCCGUAUGCUAACCGCAAGGAGGCAGCGGCCUAAGGCAAGCUCGAUGACUGGGGCGAAGUCGUAACAAGUGUAGCCGUAGUGGGAACCUGCGGCUGGAUCACCUCCUUAAUCUAGAUGCAUCGCGAGUUAGGCG
rnacentral:rRNA from 1 species